rnacentral:piRNA from 1 species
UUGGUGAUGGGAGUGAGACCUUGUCUC